GACGAACGCUGGCGGCGUGCUUAACACAUGCAAGUCGAGCGGUAAGGCCCUUUCGGGGGUACACGAGCGGCGAACGGGUGAGUAACACGUGGGUGACCUGCCCUCAGCUCUGGGAUAAGCCAGGGAAACCGGGUCUAAUACUGGAUAUGACUCCAUGACGCAUGUUGGUGGGGUGGAAAGCCUUGUGCGGCUGAGGAUGGGCCCGCGGCCUAUCAGCUUGUUGGUGGGGUGANGGCCUACCAAGGCGACGACGGGUAGCCGGCCUGAGAGGGCGACCGGCCACACUGGGACUGAGACACGGCCCAGACUCCUACGGGAGGCAGCAGUGGGGAAUUUUCCGCAAUGGGCGAAAGCCUGACGGAGUGACGCCGCGU
rnacentral:rRNA from 1 species